GAUGAACGCUGGCGGCGUGCCUAAAACAUGCAAGUCGAGCGGUAAGGCUCUGCACUUAGUGUUUGAUCGAAGUAAUUUAUUACUACAGUAGACCAAUUGGAACCUUGGCGGGUGAAGAGCGGAAUAGGAAGAUCGAAUUAUAAGUGUAGAGUACACGAGCGGCGGACGGGUGAGUAACACGUGGGAAUCUACCCCAAACUGAGGGAUAAGCACCGGAAACGGUGUCUAAUACCGCAUAUGGUCUUCGGAUUAAAGCUUCGGCGGUUUGGGAAGAGCCCGCGUAAGAUUAGCUAGUUGGUGAGGUAAAGGCUCACCAAGGCGACGAUCUUUAGCUGGUUUGAGAGGAUGAUCAGCCACACUGGAACUGAGACACGGUCCAGACUCCUACGGGAGGCAGCAGUUAGGAAUUUUCCACAAUGGCGCAAGCCUGAUGGAGCAACGCCGCGUGCAGGAUGAAGGUUUUCGGAUUGUAAACUGCUUUUAUGUGUGAAGAAUAUGACGGUAACAC
rnacentral:rRNA from 1 species